CUUGGGGCUUAUUGCUUUAUUUAAAUUCGAGUGAAAAAAUCUUUCUAGCCCAGAGUUUGAAUAGUCAGAAACCACUGGCUUAAAUGUCAUAAAUGUAGCGUUUUAUCAUGCUAGAUUUAGUCAACUGAUUUGUAUGCAAUGUAAAUAAUUACUAUAAAAUAGUUAAGACUGAAAUGUCACUUUGUCUGGAAAUGUGUUAGGGUUGAAAUAUAAAUGGGAGAUUGCAAAAAGAAUGAAAAGAAAACACUAAUGUUAUGCAUAAGACAAGCUUAAAAACUGGGCUUAAACUUAUAUAUAGGAUAACCGAACACAUGCCUGUCUCAUUUUUGAACUUGCCCUUACAAUCACCUACUGUUUACCCCUUCAGAUACUGUUAUACAAGCUAAAAACUGUUUAAAAUGUGUUUAUUGUCAAGUUCAACUAAGUUUAAUUGUUUUACCAAAUCUACCAACGGUCCAUUGACAAAUAUGCCAUGUGACGUCACAUGGACUGUGGAAAAGGCCUACUGAUUAUGCUUGUGAAAGCAAUCACCUCCCUGUUGCACAGACUGCAAAUCUAACAGUUUUAGUUUUAGUCCAGCAGCUGCCAAGCUCCUGAUUAAUGACCGCUCAUUCCCUGCCCAAUGAAGAGUAGCCAUUUGAGUGGGACAGAAAUCAAGACAGCGACCCAUUACUAAUAACAUUCUACUCGAGCAAUCUAUUGAGCGCUGAGACCACUAGUGGUUAUUGUACUGGUUGAUGGCUGUGUGAACCAUAUGUGAGGCAGGGCAGCAGGUUAAUAAUCUAACCUUUCAGUCUGACCAUUCAUAUCCAUGUGCACUGUAUACACCUUGGUCAUUUACUGCCAUACUUUAUUUGAUUGUAGUAGAACUGAAGUCUUGAUCUUGUUUAGUUCUUGUCUCAAGACCAAUUGGUACUACAUGAAAUCACCAUCAAUGCUCUCACAAGGUCUUGCAGUCACCGGUGGUCUUUGACUCUUGGCUUUUUAUUAUUUAAGAAUGCUUCAGGUUAUCCAAUAUCUUGUAUAUGUAACAGAUGUUAUAUCAAUUUAUUAAUUUCACACAAAAUCUCUCCCUUUAUCAAUUUACAUAAUUAUUUUGUAUUCUGGCAAUUCUUUUAAUAUUGAUUUCUGUUAUUUGAGCUGUUUACUAUGCUUAUAUGUUCAUUACUUCAGUGUUUGUUGUAAUUGUUAAAUAAUGGUACGUGGCCCCUUUAAGAAAUGUGUUCCGGUUGCUUUCCUUCAGUUCGCGGUAAGCGCGGCUGUGGAAAGGUCAAUGCCAAAACUGUGAAGGCCACGGAUUGACUCUUUUCAUUAAUUUUCCUUUUUAUUCUCUCAGCUGGAGUGCCUAUGAUAGCCACCAGAGGGCACUCCUUCUGUCUCCUUUACUGCUUCAAGAACUACAUUUCCCAUAACCCACUGCCUGGACUUAUCAUGUUCUGAUUGCUGACACCUGUUUGUCAUUAUCUGGUUUAUGUUUGCCUAUUUAUACCCAAUGUGUUCAUUCAAGUUUUGUUGGUGUUACACUGUGUUUCUGAGUGUGACUUCUGGUUUCUGUGUCAUAAUCUUUGUCUUCUGCCUGUCUCCCUUGAUUUGCCUGUGCCUUGGACUUUUGUAAUUAUCUGGAUGGGUUACUCUGUGGUUUUGACCUUAUUCCUGUUUUAUGGAUGGGAGCAGUACGUAACAUAUUCUGUGUAGGAUACUGCACAAAGGUCUACACACUAAGCUUAGAAGUACUGAACAGAUCUUAGUUCUUACUUAAGCUGUUUUGAUAUAAUGUCAACCAGCUGAUGUGACAUUAUGUACUGGGUAUUUUUACCUUAGUAGCUAAAAUAUACCAAAAAAAAUCUAUAGUGCUGGUUUCAAUUUUUUUUAUUUUUUAUAACAUGUUUAAAAUACUGUUCUGGCUUUUAGCUUAAAUCAAUACUCCAACCAAAAAUAAUUUUCUCGUCAUUUACUCAUCCUCAUGCCUUGCAAGAUGUAUGACGUUCUUUCUCUGGAUGAUUUUUCUAAAAAUGAAGAUUUCUCUCAGCUCAGUCCAUACUGUAUAACAUGAUGCUACAAAAAAAAAAAAAAAAAGGGCUCACGAAGUUGGUGUUGGUUUCAGUUUUGAGGGUCUUUGUUUGGGGCAUGGUAAUGUGCAGACUUUAUGUAGACAGAUGGUUUUCAAUCAAAGCAACAGUUGUUGAUGUGGAGAGAAAGACAAAAUAAUUUCUUCACUGUUAUUAACUUACUCAAUGUUGACAGCGAAGUCUCAAGCCAAUUUGUUCAUUCCAAAAUUGUGUGGCGUCUCUCUGUCAAAGCAGUUUAGCUGCAGGGAGGAGAGGAGCAGCAUCUGGAUACUAAUGAAGCACUGAGGAGCUUGUGCUGUUCCUAGUUGUGCUGUCAUGAUGUCCUCUUGUCAGCAUCACAGACGUAAUGUUCCAGUGUCCAAAACGAUGU